GAUUUCUGGCUUGAAACAUUUUGCCGGCCACGGUUUCGUGUGUUAGUGCUUGAUGUUCUGGCCAUCCUUCCAAUUGCUAUUCACUUCUCUUCAUUGAUUGGUGAGUGGUAUUGGAUCUUUUACUUUGAAAAAAUUAGAGUGUUUCAAGCAGGCUUUAUGCUAUGAAUACAUUAGCAUGGAAUAAUAAUUUAGGACUUCGGUUCUAUUUUGUUGGUUUCUAGGACUGAAGUAAUGAUUGAUAGGGAUAGUUGGGGGUGCUAGUAUUCAGCGGCCAGAGGUGAAAUUCUCGGAUUCGCUGAAGACUAACCUAUGCGAAAGCAUU
rnacentral:rRNA from 1 species